rnacentral:rRNA from 1 species
UACGUAGGGUGCGAGCGUUAAUCGGAAUUACUGGGCGUAAAGCGUGCGCAGGCGGUUUUGUAAGCCAGAUGUGAAAUCCCCGGGCUCAACCUGGGAACGGCAUUUGGGACUGCAAGGCUCGAGUGCGGCAGAGGAGACUGGAAUUCCUGGUGUAGCAGUGAAAUGCGUAGAUAUCAGGAGGAACACCGAUGGCGAAGGCAGGUCUCUGGGCUGACACUGACGCUCAUGCACGAAAGCGUGGGGAGCAAACAGG